UACGGAGGGUGCGAGCGUUGUCCGGAAUCACUGGGCGUAAAGGGCGCGUAGGCGGCGCGGGAAGUCCGUGGUGAAAGCCCGAGGCUCAACUUCGGGUCGGCCAUGGAUACUCCUGGCUUGAGCACUGUAGAGGCAGGUGGAAUUCCGGGUGUAGCGGUGGAAUGCGUAGAGAUCCGGAAGAACACCGGUGGCGAAGGCGGCCUGCUGGGCAGUAGCUGACGCUGAGGCGCGACAGCGUGGGGAGCAAACAGG
rnacentral:rRNA from 1 species